GAUGAACGCUGGCGGCGUGCUUAACACAUGCAAGUCGCACGGUGCACGCGGGCGCUUGCUCCCUCCGGAUCAGUGGCGAACGGGUGAGUAACACGUGAGCAAUCUGCCCUGGACUCUGGGAUAAGCGUUGGAAACGACGUCUAAUACCGGAUACGAGGCGUGGGGGCAUCCCCAACGCCUGGAAAGAACUUCGGUCCAGGAUGAGCUCGCGGCCUAUCAGCUAGUUGGUGAGGUAACGGCUCACCAAGGCGACGACGGGUAGCCGGCCUGAGAGGGUGACCGGCCACACUGGGACUGAGACACGGCCCAGACUCCGACGGGAGGCAGCAGUGGGGAAUAUUGCACAAUGGGCGCAAGCCUGAUGCAGCAACGCCGCGUGAGGGACGACGGCCUUCGGGUUGUAAACCUCUUUUAGCAGGGAAGAAGCGAAAGUGACGGUACCUGCAGAAAAAGCACCGGCUAACUACGUGCCAGCCGCCGCCGUAAGAC
rnacentral:rRNA from 1 species